rnacentral:rRNA from 1 species
UACGGAGGGUGCAAGCGUUAUCCGGAUUUACUGGGUUUAAAGGGUGCGUAGGCGGGCUUUUAAGUCAGCGGUGAAAGCUUCGAGCUUAACUCGUAAAUUGCCGUUGAUACUAUAUAUCUUGAAUGUCGUGGAUGUUAGCGGAAUAUGUCAUGUAGCGGUGAAAUGCUUAGAUAUGACAUAGAACACCCAUUGCGAAGGCAGCUAACUACGCGAAUAUUGACGCUGAGGCACGAAAGCGUGGGGAUCAAACAGG